GGGCGCAAGCCUGAUCCAGCAAUGCCGCGUGUGUGAAGAAGGUUUUCGGAUUGUAAAGCACUUUCAGCGGGGACGAUGAUGACGGUACCCGCAGAAGAAGCCCCGGCUAACUUCGUGCCAGCAGCCGCGGUAAUACGAAGGGGGCAAGCGUUGCUCGGAAUGACUGGGCGUAAAGGGCGCGUAGGCGGUUGUUACAGUCAGAUGUGAAAUUCCCGGGCUUAACCUGGGGGCUGCAUUUGAUACGUGACGACUAGAGUGUGAGAGAGGGUUGUGGAAUUCCCAGUGUAGAGGUGAAAUUCGUAGAUAUUGGGAAGAACACCGGUGGCGAAGGCGGCAACCUGGCUCAUGACUGACGCUGAGGCGCGAAAGCGUGGGGAGCAAACAGGAUUAGAUACCCUGGUAGUCCACGCUGUAAACGAUGUGUGCUGGAUGUUGGAUGGCUUGGCCAUUCAGUGUCGUAGUUAACGCGAUAAGCACACCGCCUGGGGAGUAC
rnacentral:rRNA from 2 species